rnacentral:rRNA from 1 species
ACGGCUCAGUAACACGUGGACAACCUGCCCUUAGGUUGGGUAUAAACCCGGGAAACUGGGUAUAAUACCCGAUAGGUCUCGAUUGCUGGAAUGCAUCGAGAUUUAAAGCUCCGGCGCCUAAGGAUGGGUCUGCGGCCUAUCAGGUAGUAGUGGGUGUAGCGUACCUACUAGCCUACGACGGGUACGGGUUGUGAGAGCAAGAGCCCGGAGAUGGAUUCUGAGACACGAAUCCAGGCCCUACGGGGUGCAGCAGGCGCGAAAACUUGACAAUGCUGGCAACAGCGAUAAGGGAACCUCGAGUGCCAGGUUACAAAUCUGGCUGUCGAGAUGCCUAAAAAGCAUUUCAUAGCAAGGGCCGGGCAAGACCGGUGCCAGCCGCCGCGGUAACACCGGCGGCUCGAGUGGUAACCGUUAUUAUUGGGUCUAAAGGGUCUGUAGCCGGCCGGAUAAGUCUCUUGAGAAAUCUGGCAGCUUAACUGUCAGGCUUUCAGGAGAUACUGUCUGGCUCGAGGCCGGGAGAGGUGAGAGGUACUUCAGGGGUAGGGGUGAAAUCUUGUAAUCCUUGAAGGACCACCAGUGGCGAAGGCGUCUCACCAGAACGGACCUGACGGCAAGGGACGAAAGCUAGGAGCACGAACCGGAUUAGAUACCCGGGUAGUCCUAGCCGUAAACGAUACUCGCUAGGUGUCGGCCACGGUGCGACCGUUGUCGGUGCCGUAGGGAAGCCGUGAAGCGAGCCACCUGGGAAGUACGGCCGCAAGGCUGAAACUUAAAGGAAUUGGCGGGGGAGCACCACAACGGGUGGAGCUUGCGGUUUAAUUGGAUUCAACGCCGGAAAUCUUACCGGGACCGACAGCAAUAUGAAGGCCAGGCUGAAGACUUUGCCGGAUUAGCUGAGAGGUGGUGCAUGGCCGUCGUCAGUUCGUACUGUGAAGCAUCCUGUUAAGUCAGGCAACGAGCGAGACCCCAAUC